rnacentral:lncRNA from 1 species
CUUUCUUAUUCGGUUCCGGUACAAUGGCCAGGAAUCCGACUCAGGGAGCUCGGUCGGGGAAUCCGACUGACGACUCCCGGUCGACUCCGGAAGUUGAGGUUUCCUCGCUUUCGGGGCCGAAUGUUGAUCGACUUCGGGAGCAGUAUUGCAUCCCGGAGCAGUUUCAACUGUCCGCCCCAGGGGCCGGCGGUCGGGUUAACAGCCCCCCGCCUGGUCAGCUGGCGCUGUAUGUCGAGGACCUUCGCGCGGGUCUUCGGCUC